rnacentral:other from 1 species
AAAUACCAGGGGUCGGCAAAUACAUAUUUGGACCCUACAGUCAAUUGCCCAGGGGGCUGUCCCUAGCUGUGGUGUGCAUGCCUGGUUUACCAGGAAGCCUAAAGCUGCUAAACGGCGCCCACUUAAGAUUCUGGGUCCCAAAUUGACGUUCCGACUCCUGGUUUUUU